UACGGGGGGGGCCAGCGUUGUUCGGAAUUACUGGGCGUAAAGGGCUCGUAGGUGGCCAACUAAGUCAGACGUGAAAUCCCUCGGCUUAACCGGGGAACUGCGUCUGAUACUGGAUGGCUUGAGUUCGGGAGAGGGAUGCGGAAUUCCAGGUGUAGCGGUGAAAUGCGUAGAUAUCUGGAGGAACACCGGUGGCGAAGGCGGCAUCCUGGACCGACACUGACGCUGAGGAGCGAAAGCCAGGGGAGCAAACGGG
rnacentral:rRNA from 1 species